CAACAAAUACGGACAAUGGCUCGGGCACACCGAUGGCAUAAGAAACCUGCACAAUGCAUCUCCGAGCAAGCCCACUAGCUACAAUACUCUUGGCAGCCUGCCUUACGAUGUAUGCACCACUCCUGUCAACCUUGGUUGGGUCUUUACCGGAGAAAGCACCACCACCAUGGGCACCCCAACCACCAUAGGUGUCAAUGAUGAUUUUACGACCAGUGAGACCAGCAUCACCAUGAGGUCCACCAAUAACGAAUCGGCCAGAUGGGUUAAGGUGGAAGAUUGUCUUCUCGUCAAGGUACUUCUCUGGGAUGACUGGCUUGAUGACAUGCUCCUUAAGGUCGCGGGCAAUCUCAUCAUUAGUGACGGUCUCAUCGUGUUGAGUGGAGAUGAGAACGGUGUGGACCCUAACUGGAACCAUCGCACCAUUGUCAUUGUAGUACUCAACAGUAACUUGGGUCUUGCCAUCAGGCCUCAACCAGGGGCAGGUACCAUUCUUGCGAACUUCAGUGAGGCGGGCACCAAGUUUAGUUGCGAGCACAUGGCUGAGAGGCAUCAAUUCAGGGGUCUCAUCUGUGGCAUACCCGAACAUGUGUCCCUGGUCACCAGCACCAAUCUCCUCAGGGCGCUUGGUCAGAUGGCCGUGGACACCUUGAGCGAUAUCAGGACUUUGCUGUUCAAUGUAUACAAGGACCUUGC
rnacentral:lncRNA from 1 species